rnacentral:lncRNA from 1 species
GGGCUCCCCCCGUGGCCGUCGCCAGUACUGCAGCGUCAGUCUCCGGGGCAGGUGAGCGACCAGCUGGUGGAGAUCAAUGGGGAGCCCACGCUGGGCAUGACGCACGCCCGGGCCGUGGAGCAGAUCCGCCGGGGGGGCAGCCGCAUCCGCCUGGUGCUCAGGAAAGGCGACGGCUUCGUCCCUGACUUCGUGUCCGUGUGCGCCCCCCCCACAGCGACGCCGCUCUGCAGCCUGGCGCUGUGCGUCACCAACUCCCGGCGGGGCGAGCCUUGCUUCUGCCUCGUGGGACGGCUGGAGCGUGACUGGUGGGUUGCCCCCCCCCCGCAGGCCAGAGCAAUGGGCCGACCGAGCCCCCGCCCCAGUCACAGCAAUGGGA